rnacentral:rRNA from 1 species
GCGGGAAUUCCAGCUCCAAUAGCGUAUAUUAAAGUUGUUGCAGUUAAAAAGCUCGUAGUUGAAUUUCGGGGUUCUACCGUUGGUCGGGCAAUAGUCUGUACUGGCGUGUAGAAUUUCUACCUUCUGGGGAACCAUCAUGUUAUUUAUUUAGCGUGGUGGGAAACCAGGACCUUUACCUUGAAAAAAUUAGAGUGUUCAAAGCAGGCUUACGUCUGAAUACAUUAGCAUGGAAUAAUAAAAUAGGACGGUGGUCCUGUUUUGUUGGUUUCUGAAUCACCGUAAUGAUUAAUAGGGAUAGUUGGGGGCAUUAGUAUUCAAUUGUCAGAGGUGAAAUUCUUGGAUUUAUUGAAGACUAACUUCUGCGAAAGCAUUUGCCAAGGAUGUUUUCAUUAAUCAAGAACGAAAGUUAGGGGAUCGAAGACGAUCAGAUACCGUCGUAGUCUUAACCAUAAACUAUGCCGACUAGGGAUCGGACGAUGUAU